rnacentral:rRNA from 1 species
AAAGGAAUAGACGGGGACCCGCACAACCAGUGGAGCGUGUGGUUUAAUUCGAGACGAAGCGAAAAACCUCACCAAGGCUUGACAUGCUAGAGUUCUAGCCUCCCCAAAAGGAGGCAAUCCGUAAGGAGACUAGCACAGGUGCUGCAUGGCUGUCGUCAGCUCGUGCCGUGAGGUGUUCCCUUAAGUGGGGAAACGAGUGCAACCCUUGUCUAAUGUUAAAUAUUCAUUAGAGACUGCCUCUAUUUUUAGAGGAGGAAGGAAAGGCGGACGUCAAGUCAGCAUGGCCCUUAUGCCUUGGGCUACACACACCCUACAAUGGCGAAGAACAAUGGGUCGCAAGCUCGUAAGAGCAAGCUAAUCUCAGAAAUUUCGCCUCAGUUCAGAUUGAGGUCUGAAACUCGACCUCAUGAAGUUGGAAUUGGUAGUAAUCGCGGAUCAGCGGGCCGCGGUGAAUACGUUAUCGGGUCUUGUACACACCGCCCGU